rnacentral:rRNA from 1 species
AGACAGCAGUCGCCGCGGUAAUACGUAGGUCCCGAGCGUUGUCCGGAUUUAUUGGGCGUAAAGGGAGCGCAGGCGGUUUAGUAAGUCUGAAGUUAAAGGCAUUGGCUCAACCAAUGUAUGCUUUGGAAACUGUUAGACUUGAGUGCAGAAGGGGAGAGUGGAAUUCCAUGUGUAGCGGUGAAAUGCGUAGAUAUAUGGAGGAACACCGGUGGCGAAAGCGGCUCUCUGGUCUGUCACUGACGCUGAGGCUCGAAAGCGUGGGUAGCGAACAGGAUUAGAUACCCCUGUAGUCCCUGUCUCUUAUACC